AGAGUUUGAUCAUGGCUCAGGACGAACGCUGGCGGCGUGCUUAACACAUGCAAGUCGAGCGGAAAGGCCUCUUUGGGGGUACUCGAGCGGCGAACGGGUGAGUAACACGUGAGUAACCUGCCCUUCACUUUGGGAUAACCCUCGGAAACGGGGGCUAAUACCGGAUAUGACUGCCGGCCGCAUGGUUGGUGGUGGAAAGAUUUGUUGGUGGGGGAUGGGCUCGCGGCCUAUCAGCUUGUUGGUGGGGUGAUGGCCUACCAAGGCGACGACGGGUAGCCGGCCUGAGAGGGCGACCGGCCACACUGGGACUGAGACACGGCCCAGACUCCUACGGGAGGCAGCAGUGGGGAAUAUUGCACAAUGGGCGGAAGCCUGAUGCAGCGACGCCGCGUGAGGGAUGACGGCCUUCGGGUUGUAAACCUCUUUCAGCCGGGACGAAGGCCUUUGGGUUGACGGUACCGGCAGAAGAAGCGCCGGCCAACUACGUGCCAGCAGCCGCGGUAAGACGUAGGGCGCGAGCGUUGUCCGGAUUUAUUGGGCGUAAAGAGCUCGUAGGCGGCUUGUCGCGUCGACUGUGAAAACCCGCGGCUCAACUGCGGGCUUGCAGCCGAUACGGGCAGGCUAGAGUUCGGUAGGGGAGACUGGAAUUCCUGGUGUAGCGGUGAAAUGCGCAGAUAUCAGGAGGAACACCGGUGGCGAAGGCGGGUCUCUGGGCCGAUACUGACGCUGAGGAGCGAAAGCGUGGGGAGCGAACAGGAUUAGAUACCCUGGUAGUCCACGCUGUAAACGUUGGGCGCUAGGUGUGGGGGGCCUCUCCGGUUCUCUGUGCCGCAGCUAACGCAUUAAGCGCCCCGCCUGGGGAGUACGGCCGCAAGGCUAAAACUCAAAUGAAUUGACGG
rnacentral:rRNA from 1 species